GAACAGAAGAGGUUGGGAGUGCUUGCGGCUUGUGUGGACCUCUUCCUACAGAGACUGGAGGUGCAGUUCUGAGAGGACGUGCUUGCCCAUGGCUGCAGCUGUUACUUCAGCAUUCCCACACCUUUCCCAGGGCUCAGCUUUACUCUCUCAAGGCAACUAAACUCUUUUGUUUAGUUGGGACAACAGAAUAAAGGAAGCUGGGUUUCUGUUUAAAUUGCCUUUUGUAAUAAAUGAAGAAAGGUUGGUCAUUGGUAGCAGUGCUGGAAAUCCUAAGUCACCUUCAAGAACAACCUGGAAAAAAGAACAGCAGAUCCACAAUUAUGGAUCUACUUUGGGUAGGGGUGCAGCCUGGUCCUUGAUUAGCUGAAAGGAAUCAAGCUGCUCCUCACAGCAGCGUUCAGUUAUCCACUCAGUGUCUCUGUAGGUUUUGGAUUUGGGGAGAAAGCAGCAUGUUUCUCUGUUUCCUCUGAUAGACAUCAACAAUCAAAUACAAUUUACUGUUUGUCUACUUUAUUUUUUACUAGGUUUUUGAAAAACUUGUGGAUUUGUGAAGAAGGGUGAAUUUCUUCAGAGAGCUAUAGACUUUUCUUACCAUGAGGAAUUUUGCGUAACGAAUUAACCAGUAGCUAUUCUGUUCUGCCAACAAGUUAAAGCACAUCUCAGAAUAAUUAUGUCUUUUAGAUGCUACAGAUUGUUUCCAUGAUUUGUGCUCAUGAGAUUUGUGCUCAUGACAUUUGUGCUCAUGAGCUCUGGACAGAUUUGGCCCCAAUAUGUCUGCAUUUAUCUCUUGUGUCUGUUUCCUCAUAAAUGUUAGGAAUAGAAGAUUUCUGUAGUUGUGAUUAGCAAUUUGGGAAAGAGGCCCUUACCUAUCCAGAUAUGUUCUUUUAGCAGUGUGGGGGUAUGGCCAGCACACAGGCACAGUCAUGAUCUUUACUGUUGAGGUGCAUUUGCCCCAUACUGAAUGCAGUGCUAUGUGUUACAGCCCCUUUCUUUUUUUUUUUUUUUAAUACAUUGGAAGAGAAUUUAUAAAUCAGAAGCCUUUGUGCUUAAUCUCCUUAAAUGUCAUUCAAUGACUGUAAUGUACAU